CGGUGGAUCACUCGGCUCGUGGAUCGAUGAAGGACGCAGCAAACUGCGCGUCGAAUUGUGAACUGCAGGACACAUGAACAUCGACGCUUCGAACGCACAUUGCGGCCCACGGAUUCUGUUCCCGGGUUACGCCUGGCUGAGGGCCGGC
rnacentral:rRNA from 1 species